rnacentral:lncRNA from 1 species
AAAAUUACACAGAUUUCAGUUCAGCUUCCCUAUCAAACCUGGGUAAAAAAUGUAAAAAAGCUAAGAUGGCGUCUUUCAUGCAGAACUUUGAUUUUUAACAUGCUGAUCAUCAAUUGGACCGUACACCCACAGGGAGCAGAUGGAUUCAUGAGUUUGUUUGGUGUCCCACAUAUAUUCUCACGGAAAGGAUUGGCUUGGUCGGAACCUCGAUCCACAAUCCAUAGUUGAACACCAGCAGAGCAUCAGCCCGCGCUUACAAUUUCCCGGUUCCGGUUCCAGGCUGGAUCUUCCAGAGACAGCACGAGUUAACACUGCGUCGCGUCCAAGUGUUCCAGCUUUUUCGAUAUUUAUUGAAUAUUGAUUUAUGCAUGAAGCUCAAUUUAUUGAUUAAUAAAUCUUGCAUU